rnacentral:lncRNA from 1 species
UGGAAAAACGUUGCCUGGUCUGAUGAGUCUCGAUUUCUGCUACGACAUUCGGAUGGUAGGGUCAGAAUUUGGCGUCAACAACAUGAAAGCAUGGAUCCAUCCUGCCUUGUAUCAACAGUUCUGGCUGGUGGUGGUGGUGUCAUGGUGUGGGGAAUAUUUUCUUGGCACUCUUUGGGCCCCUUGGUACCAAUUGAGCAUCGUUGCAACGCCACAGCCUACCUGAGUAUUGUUGCUGACCAUGUCCAUCCCUUUAUGACCACAAUGUACCCAACUUCUGAUGGCUACUUUCAGCAGGAUAAUGCGCCAUGUCAUAAAGCUGGAAUCAUCUCAGACUGGUUUCUUGAACAUGACAAUGAGUUCACUGUACUCAAAUGGCCUCCACAGUCACCAGAUCUCAAUCCAAUAGAGCAUCUUUGGGAUGUGGUGGAGCGGGAGAUUCGCAUCAUGGAUGUGCAGCCGACAAAUCUGCGGCAACUGUGUGAUGCCAUCAUGUCAAUAUGGACCAAGCUCUCUGAGGAAUGCUUCCAGCACCUUGUUGAAUCUAUGCCACGAAGAAUUGAGGCAGUUCUGAAGGCAAAAGGGGGUCCAACCCGUUACUAGCAUGGUGUACCUAAUAAAGUGGCCGGUGAGUGUAUAUAUAUAGGUUGUUCUUUUCUGAAAUACUUUUCCUUGUGUUUUUUUAUUUUGUUUAUACUAUCCUUUCUAUCCUUCUAUCCUUUAUCCUAUCCUUUCUUUUAGUUUUUUUAGUUCUUUUUGUUAUAUAUAUUUAGGGUGUUUUUUUUCAGAAAUACUUUUCCUUCUGUUUUUUUAAUUUUGUUUACACUAUCCUUUCUCCUUUUUUUGGUUAACUUUAGUUUUUUUCUGCCUGUUUUAAGGUUGUUUUUUAGUUUUUUUUAGUUUUUUAAAGUUUUUUUUUUAGAAAUACUAUCCUUUUCUUCUUUUUUAAUUUUCUUUAGUUUUAUUCUUCCUGUUUUUAAGUUUUUUUUAGUUUUUUUUUAGUUUUUUGUUAUUUAUAUAUAUAGGUUGUUCUUUUCUGAAAUACUUUUCCUUCUGUUUUUUUUAUUUUGUUUAUACUAUCCUUUCUCUUUUUUUUAGUUUUCUUUAGUUUUUUUUCUGCCUGUUUUAAUUUUUUAUUAGAAAAACUAUUCUUUUUCUUCUUUUUUAGUUUUCUUUAGUUUUUUUCUGCAUGUUUAAAGUUGUUUUUUAGUUUUUUUUUGUUAUUUAUAAAUAUUAAGGGUUUUCCUUUCUAAAAUACUUUUCCUUCUGUUUUUUUAUUUUGUUUAUACCAUCCUUUCUCUUUUUUAGUUUUCUUUAGUUUUUUUCUGCCUGUUUUAAGUUUUUUUUUAGUUUUUUUAGUUUUUUAGUUUUUUCUAUAUAUUUAGGGUGUUUUUUCUGAAAUACUUUUCCUUCUGUUUUUUUUAUUUUGUUUAUACUAUCCUUUCUCUUUCUUUAAUUUUCUUUAGUUUUUUGUCUGCCUGUUUUAAGUGGUUUUUUUUAGGUUUUUUUAGUUACUUUUGUAAUAUAUUUAGGGUGUUUUAUCAGAAAUACUUCUGUUUUUUUUAUUUUGUUUAUAAUAUCCUUUCUCCUUUUUUAGUUUACUUUAGUUUUUUCUGCCUGUUUUAAUUUUAUUUUUUAGUUUUUUUUUGUUCUUUUUGUAAUAUAUUUAGGGUGUUUUUUCAGAAAUACUGUUCCUUCUGUUUUUUUUAGUUUUUGUCUGCCUGUUCUAAGUUUUUUUUUAGUUUUUUUUAGUUUUUUUUAGAAAUAAUAAUCUUCUUUUUAUUAGUUUUCUUUAGUUUUUUUCUGCCUGUUUUAAUUUUUCUGUUUUUUGUUUUCUUUAGUUUUUUUUCUUCAGUUUUUUUUUCCUAUUUUUUUGCCUGGCACCUCUGUCUGGAUGAGCUACUCUUAGUCUGGUCCCUCCCCCAGGACCUGUUUGCCUUGGGUAACCUUUCAGAGGCAUAAAGCCCUGACAACAUAGCUCCUGGGAUCAUUGGGACACACAAACCCCUCCACCACGGUAAGGUGGUAGCUCAAGGAGGGGAAAAAACCCUCACAUGGGAGGGAAAAACCGCAAGGGUUUUUUUUUCUGUCCAAAACAACCGGUUUAGGGUGGGUUUUUGUUCUUUUUUUUCAGAAAUACUUUUAUUUUCUUUAGUUUCCUAUAGUUCUUUUUUAUUUUUCUGCCUGUUUUAAGUUUUUUUUUUCAGAAAUACUGUGAUUUUACUUUUUUUUUUUACUUUUUUUUUUUUUACAAAUACUAUUCUUUUUCUUUGUUUUCUUUAGUUUUUUUCUGCAUGUUUAAAGUUUUUUUUUGUUUUUUUUGUUAUUUAUAAAUAUAAAGGGUUUUCCUUUCUAAAAUACUUUUCCUUCUGUUUUUUUUAUUUUGUUUAUACUAUCCUUUCUCUUUUUUAGUUUUCUUUAGUUUUUUUCUACCUGUUUUAAGUUUUUUUUGUUUGUCUUUUUUGUUUUUUCUAUAUAUUUAGGGUCUUUUUUUCUGAAAUACUUUUCCCUCUGUUUUUUUAUUUUGUUUAUACUAUCCUUUCUAUUUUUUAGUUUUCUUUAGUUUUUUUCUGCCUGUUUUAAGUUUUUUUUUUUUUUUUUUUAUAUAUAUUUGGGGUAUUUUUUCUGAUAUACUUUUCUUUCUGUUUUUUCAAUUUUGUUUAUACUAUCCUUUCUCUUUUUUUAGUUUUCUCUAGUUUUUUUCUGCCUGUUUUAAGUUUUUUUAUUAGUUUUUUUAGUUUUUUUCUGUUAUAUAUAAUUAGGGUGGUUUUUUUUCAGAAAUUCUUUUCCUUCUGUUUUUUUAUUUUGUUUACACUAUCCUUUCUCCUCUUUUUAGUUUACUUUAGUUUUUUCUGCCUGUUUUAAGUUUUUUUUUAGUUUUUAAAAGUUUUUUUUAGAAAUACUAUUCUUUUUCUUCUUUUUUUAGUUUUCUUUAGUUUUAUUCUGCCUGUUUUUAAGGGUUUUUUUAGUUUUUUUUCAGUUUUUUUGUUAUUUAUAUAUAUAUAUAGGUUGUUCUUUUCUGAAAUACUUUUCCUUCUGUUUUUUUUUUAUUUUGUUUAUACCAUCCUUUCUAUCCUUUAUUUCUUUAGUUUUUUUCUGCCUGUUUUAAGUUUUUUUUUUUUUUUUUUUUUUUUUUUUCUAUAUAUUUGGGGUGUUUUUUCUGAUAUACUUUUCUUUCUGUUUUUUCAAUUUUGUUUAUACUAUCCUUUCUCUUUUUUUAGUUUUCUCUAGUUUUUUUUCUGCCUGUUUUAAGUUUUUUUAUUAGUUUUUUUAGUUUUUUUCUGUUAUAUAUAAUUAGGGUGUUUUUUUUUUCAGAAAUUCUUUUCCUUCUGUUUUUUAUUUUGUUUACACUAUCCUUUCUCCUCUUUUUAGUUUACUUUAGUUUUUUCUGCCUGUUUUAAGUUUUUUUUUAGUUUUUAAAAGUUUUUUUUAGAAAUACUAUUCUUUUUCUUCUUUUUUUAGUUUUCUUUAGUUUUAUUCUGCCUGUUUUUAAGGGUUUUUUUUAGUUUUUUUUUCAGUUUUUUUGUUAUUUAUAUAUAUAUAUAGGUUGUUCUUUUCUGAAAUACUUUUCCUUCUGUUUUUUUUUUUUAUUUUGUUUAUACCAUCCUUUCUAUCCUUUAUCCUAUCCUUUCUUUUAGUUUUUUUAGUUCUUUUUGUUAUAUAUAUUUAGGGUGUUUUUUUUCAGAAAUAUUUUUCCUUCUGUUUUUUUAAUUUUGUUUACACUAUCCUUUCUCCUUUUUUUAGUUUACUUUAGUUUUUUCUGCCUGUUUUAAGUUUUUUUUUAUUUUUUUAACGUUUUUUUAGAAAUACUAUUCUUUUUCUUCUUUUUUAGUUUACUUUAGUUUUAUUCUGCCUGUUUGUAAGUGUUUUUUUAAGUUUUUUUUGUUUUUUUGUUAUUUAUAUAUAUAUAUGUUGUUCUUUUCUGAAAUACUUUUCCUUCUGUUUUUUAUUUUGUUUAUACUAGCCUUUCUCUUUUUUUUAGUUUUCUUUAGUUUUUUUUCUGCCUGUUUUAAUUUUUUUUUUUUUUUUUUUGUUUUUUCUAUAUAUUUAGGGUGCUUUUUUCUGAUAUACUUUUCUUUCUGUUUUUUUUUAUUUUGUUUUAACUAUCCUUUCUCUUUUGUAGUUUUCUUCAUUUUUUUCUUCAUGUUUUAAUUUUUUUUUUAGUUUUUUCUAUAUAUUUAGGGUGUUUUUUUCUGAAAUACUUUUCCUUCUGUUUUUUUUAUUUUGUUUAUACUAUCCUUUCUCUUUUUUUAAUUUUCUUUAGUUUUUUGUCUGCCUGUUUUAAGUUUUUCUUUUAGUUUUUUUAGUUAUUUUUGUAAUAUAUUAAGGGUGUUUUAUCAGAAAUACUUUUCCUUCUUUUUUUUAUUUUGUUUAUAAUAUCCUUUCUCCUUUUUUAGUUUACUUUAGAUUUUUCUGCCUGUUUUAAGUUUUUUUAAAGUUUUUUUUAGUUCUUUUUGUAAUAUAUUUAGGGUGUUUUUUCAGAAAUACUGUUCCUUCUGUUUUUUUUAGUUUUUGUCUGCCUGUUCUAAGUUUUUUUUUAGUUUUUUGAAGUUUUUUUUAGAAAUAAUAAUCUUCUUUUUAUUAUUUUUCUUUAGUUUUUUUCUGCCUGUUUUAAUUUUUCUGUUUUUUGUUUUCUUUAGUUUUUUUUCUUCAGUUUUUUUUUCCUAUUUUUUUGCCUGGCACCUCUGUCUGGAUGAGCUACUCUUAGUCUGGUCCCUCCCCCAGGACCUGUUUGCCUUGGGUAACCUUUCAGAGGCAUAAAGCCCUGACAACAUAGCUCCUGGGAUCAUUGGGACACACAAACCCCUCCACCACGGUAAGGUGGUAGC